AUGCCUGAAAUAAACACUGACCACCUCAACGAGCAACAGGUUCAACUCCUGGCAGAGAUGUGUACACUUAUUGAUGAAAAUGACAAUAAAAUUGGGGCUGAGAACAUUGAGAAAGGGUUAUUGCAUUGAGCUUUUAGUGUCUUCUUAUUCAACACUGAAAAUAAGCUUCUGCUACAGCAAAGAUCAGAUGCUAAGAUUACCUUUCCAAGUUGUUUUACUAAUACUUGUUGUAGUUAUCUAUUAAGUAAACCAGGUGAACUUGAGGAAAAUGAUGGCCUUGGAGUGAGGAGAGCAGCACAGAGGCAGCUGAAAGCUGAGCUAGGAAUUCCCUUGGAAGAGGUUCCUCCAGAAGAAAUUAAUUAUUUAACACUAAUUCACUACAAAGCUCAGUCGGAUGGUAUCUGAGGUGAACAUGAAAUUGAUUACAUUUUGUUUGUGAGGAAGAAUGUAACUUUGAAUCCAGAUCCCAGUGAGAUUAAAAGCUAUUGUUAUGUGUCAAAAGAAGAACUAAAAGAACUUGGGGAAAAAAGCAGCCAAUUGUGAAAUUAAGAUAACGUCAUGGUUUCAAAUUAUUGCAGAGGCUUUUCUCUUUAAAUGGUGGGAUAACUUAAAUCAUUUGAAUCAGUUUGUUGACCAUGAGAAAAUAUACAGA
rnacentral:lncRNA from 1 species